GACGAACGCUGGCGGCGUGCUUAACACAUGCCAGUCGAACGGAAAGGCCCUGCUUUUGUGGGGUGCUCGAGUGGCGAACGGGUGAGUAACACGUGAGUAACCUGCCCUUGACUUUGGGAUAACUUCAGGAAACUGGGGCUAAUACCGGCUAGGAGCUCCUGCUGCAUGGUGGGGGUUGGAAAGUUUCGGCGGUUGGGGAUGGACUCGCGGCUUAUCAGCUUGUUGGUGGGGUAGUGGCUUACCAAGGCUUUGACGGGUAGCCGGCCUGAGAGGGUGACCGGCCACAUUGGGACUGAGAUACGGCCCAGACUCCUACGGGAGGCAGCAGUGGGGAAUAUUGCACAAUGGGCGGAAGCCUGAUGCAGCAACGCCGCGUGCGGGAUGACGGCCUUCGGGUUGUAAACCGCUUUCGCCUAUGACGAAGCGUGAGUGACGGUAAUGGGUAAAGAAGCACCGGCUAACUACGUG
rnacentral:rRNA from 1 species